rnacentral:rRNA from 1 species
GCUUCUUUUUCACCGGAGCUUGCUCCACCGGAAAAAGAGGAGUGGCGAACGGGUGAGUAACACGUGGGUAACCUGCCCAUCAGAAGGGGAUAACACUUGGAAACAGGUGCUAAUACCGUAUAACAAUCGAAACCGCAUGGUUUUGAUUUGAAAGGCGCUUUCGGGUGUCGCUGAUGGAUGGACCCGCGGUGCAUUAGCUAGUUGGUGAGGUAACGGCUCACCAAGGCCACGAUGCAUAGCCGACCUGAGAGGGUGAUCGGCCACAUUGGGACUGAGACACGGCCCAAACUCCUACGGGAGGCAGCGGUAGGGAAUCUUCGGCAAUGGACGAAAGUCUGACCGAGCAACGCCGCGUGAGUGAAGAAGGUUUUCGGAUCGUAAAACUCUGUUGUUAGAGAAGAACAAGGAUGAGAGUAACUGUUCAUCCCUUGACGGUAUCUAACCAGAAAGCCACGGCUAACUACGUGCCAGCAGCCGCGGUAAUACGUAGGUGGCAAGCGUUGUCCGGAUUUAUUGGGCGUAAAGCGAGCGCAGGCGGUUUCUUAAGUCUGAUGUGAAAGCCCCCGGCUCAACCGGGGAGGGUCAUUGGAAACUGGGAGACUUGAGUGCAGAAGAGGAGAGUGGAACUCCAUGUGUAGCGGUGAAAUGCGUAGAUAUAUGGAGGAACACCAGUGGCGAAGGCGGCUCUCUGGUCUGUAACUGACGCUGAGGCUCGAAAGCGUGGGGAGCAACAGGAUAGAUACCCUGGUAGU